rnacentral:SRP_RNA from 1 species
CGUUUGGGUCUUACGCAAUAGGUCUCUGUGAACCGUGUCAGAUCAGGAAUGAAGCAGCACUAAGCAGAAUCGCCUGUGUGCCGUGAGGGUGCCUGGACUGAGU